CCAUGCCCGGCUAAUUUAUUUUAUUUUUUAUAGAGCUGUCUCACUAUUGCCAGGCUUCUGUGUUUACUUUUUAUUUUUGCUUUUUGUAUUUCCAGUCUCCCAGGGUCCCUUCUGCCUCUUCCCUCUGGCCCCAUCUUGUUUCCAAAGAAGUGUCUUCCACGCCUACCCACACGCCCUACUCCUCACCUUGCCCCAAGCUUCUGCCAGGGUCAGCUUGUUCCAGUUCAUAAAUUCAGUGGGCACUUAUUGAGCACCUACUGUGUGCCCCAGGAAUUGUGUUAAUGCCUUGAGAACCAAAGUCCAAAAGCUGUGCCUGAGCAUUUAUUAAGCACCAGGCAUUGUGCUACAACCUGAGAACACGAAAGGUGGUUGCUGCCCUCAAGACCCCGGGGCUACCUGGGAAAAUGCACAAAAACAGAUGGUUCUACUGGCUUGGGAAGCUGGGGACUGGGUGUGGCCAGAGCAGAAAGUUCACGAGGACUCUGAGGAGGAGGCAAGGCUUUCAGUUUGAGAGGCGCUAGCCAGGCAGGGCAGGGGUGCAGGGUGUUCCAGGUAGAAGGAACAGUGUGUAUAAAGGCACACCGGCGUGAAGCAGCCCCGUGUCCUCCGACGGGCACUCGGAGUUGUUUGGCCUGGCUGGACAUGGAGUACAGGUUGGGGAGCCGGGGAGAUGAGGCCAGAGGCAGGCCAGCCCAGAUGGUGCAGAACCUCAUGUUCCAGCAAAAGAGUUGACCUUUAUCCUGGAGCAGCUGGAAGCCCAGGCAGCCUCAUGGCUCCCUGCAGCCCGGGAGCUUCAGGGCUGGGCUGGGGCCAGGGCCAGGGCCAGAGCAUUCUCCUCUGAUCCCCCAUUAACCCACAUUUACUGCCCUUUGGCUCAGCAAGGCCUGUGGAAGAGUCCGUCACUCAAAUAUAAUGCUAUGUCCAAAGCACAGUCCUUCAUUCAUUCAUUUUAAAAAAUAAUGUUUAGCAAGCUCUGCUGUUAGCCAGGUACUGCUCUGAGCACCACUAAUGGGUCAUUGAACCCCACAGAGGUCCCAGCUCUGGAGAAAUUUACACCCUUGGCAGCUGGGAGAGGGACAGGCCAUUAAAAAAAUGAAACAAAUAAAUUAGCAAGAUAAUUUCAGAUCAUGAUAAGUGAAAGAAGAAAACAAAACAGGGAGGUAAUUGAGCAUGACUGGUGCUCUGAGUAGUCAGGGAAGGUUGCUCUGAGGAAGGUUAUAUUUGAGCUCAGACAUGGAUGACAGGAACAGAACAAACCAGUCAUGUGGACAUCUGGAGGCUGAGGGUCUCAGGCACAGGAAACAGCACAUGCAAAGGCCCCGGGGCAUAAAAGAACUUGGUGCUUUCCAGAUUUAGAAAAAAGGAUGGGUUCAAAUCUAUUAACCCCCAGCAAUCCUAUGCAAGCAUUAUUAUACCCAUUUUGUGCAAAAGGAUCAAAAUGGUCAAAUCCCUUGGCCAAAAUCACAACUGGUAGUACACAUUUUUAUUCUAAAGCCAUUGUUCUUUUUUCUACCAAAGUUGCAAGUAUAGCAACCGUGUGUGUGUAUCCUAAAUUAUCUAUGAAAGUCCAAUUUUUAAAUUCUGUCUCAUUUUCCCCUGGACAGUUAUCUUGGACAUUGUAUUCCAAACCAUGACUUGAAGCCCUGUCUUCAUUAAGUACUACCAGUACUAGUACUGAUAGUACCAGUCCUAGACUAGCACUUGACCACUGUAAGCCUUAGUUUCCUUAUCUGUACAUAGGGAGAGUAGUAUUUCCAAUAUCAUAGGCUUGGUGGGAGGAUUAAAUAAGAUUGUUCAGGUAAGAGUCAGCACAGUGCCUGGAGCAUGAUGCAAAUUCAAUUAAUGGUGCUGCUUCUUUAUUGUUUCCUUGGAAAUGGAGGCCACCUGCAGAAUGAUCCUGCCCCCACGGAGUGGGGAACCCAAGACAUAUAGACAGAAAGAGAGACCAACAAUGUGAGGCCCCAGCCGGCUGCCAGACAGGCGGGAGAGCAGCGGGGAGAGAGCGGAGAGAGAGCGGGAGAGGGCGGCCGGAGGGCCUCUUCCCUUCCCUUUGCUCAGCCUCUCGCUCCUCUGCUAGGAUCCCACAUCGAUACAUCUUGUACUUCCCGUUUCCAGGGAAAUUCCUCACGCUGGACCGCACCCACCCUUGAGGACCUCCGAUCUCUUUGAGCAGAACGGAAGCCAGACAGAGACAGGGACUACGAAGCCACAGUCCCCAGCCCUGUGUGUGCCAGGAGGCCCUGGGGCAGACGGCCACGCUGCAGGAGGCGCUAGGACCUCCCCCCGGGGAGCCCAGCAUGGCUGCAGGGACAGAACGCCUCUCAGAGGAGGAGCAUUUCCUGGAAUUCUCAUCAUUUGGGUCUCCGCACAAGUGUCACAUCCUCAGAAGUCUUCCCUCACUAUCCUCUCUAAUGGUGUCCUCAACACUUUUCAAUCACAUUGCCCUGUCUGCCGCAUGAGAACUUCAGCUCCAUGAACAAAUGCAUCCUGAAUGUUUUGCUUACCUACAACAGUGCCUGAUAGAUGACCAUGACAUCCAAAAGCAAUACCAUAAUUUAUGUAACCAGUUGGCAGACGUUAAGUUGUUUAUAUUCAUUACAAAUGCUGCUGCAAUGAACUAUAUCUUAUAUCUACCCACUUGCUUGGAAUAUAUGGGUGUAUUUCUGUAGUAUAAAUUCCCAGAAGUGGAAUUAUUGCGACAAAGACUAUGUGAGUUAUUGCCAAGUUUUCUUCUGAAGAGGUUUCAUCAAUUUUUGGUCUUACCAAUAAUAUUGUUUCCUGCACCCUGACCAACCCACUGUUUUACAAAACUUUAGCAGUUUCUUAGAAAAUGAUAUCUCUGGUAAGUGUAAAAUGGUUUUGGUUUACAUUUCUCUUAUUAUAGGUUAGGUGGAAUGUCUUUUCAUACUCACCAGUGAUUUAAAUUAUGAAAGUAAUUCAAGUAUCUAGUAAAACAUUAUCUAGUAAAACAAUAUAAAGAGAAAUGCAAUAAAAACUAGUUCUUCCUACUCCAGGUUGCCAGGUCCCAUCUUCUUAGGAGUAACCAGCAUUAAGAGUUCCUUGGGGGCCGGGCGCUGUGGCUCACGC